UCCUGAAGCAAGGUGUUUGAGUAAGGUCGUCCUGAAGCAAGGUGUUUUGAGUAAGGUCGUCCUGAAGCAAGGUGUUUGAAUAAGGUCGUCCUGAAGCAAGGUGUUUUGAGUAAGGCCGUCCUGAAGCAAGGUGUUUGAGUAAGGUCGUCCUGCAGCAAGGUGUUUUGAGUAAAGUCGUCCUGAAGCAAGGUGUUUUGAGUAAGGUCGUCCUGAAGCAAGGUGUUUGAAUAAGGUCGUCCUGAAGCAAGGUGUUUUGAGUAAGGUCGUCCUGAAGCAAGGUGUUUGAGUAAAGUCGUCCUGAAGCAAGGUGUUUGAGUAAAGUCGUCCUGAAGCAAGGUGUUUUGAGUAAGGUCGUCCUGAAGCAAGGUGUUUGAAUAAAGUCGUCCUGAAGCAAGGUGUUUUGAGUAAGGUCGUCC
rnacentral:lncRNA from 1 species